CAAGGAGUGUAAGACAAGUUAGCAUACUGGUUGAUAUUUGAAAAUUGGAAGUAAAGGUGUUAUAAGUUGAUUGACGAAAUGACGAAAAUGCGUUAUCUCUUGAACGGAGGAGCAUAAAAUAAAAUACAAAAUACAUAAAAAGAUCAUAAAAGAGAUGGAAUAGCCUAAAGGGGAAACAACCUAGAGAUAAAAAGAGCCCUAUUCAAAUAAGUAGAUAGAAGAAAAUCGUACAAGAAUGGAUAAUAAAAAACUGUUUGGGAGGGUGGUCAUAUCGUGAGUUAGGAAAACAUCAAAAGGGUUUUCUUUCACAGAAAGUGUCAGUAGAAGG
rnacentral:sRNA from 1 species